UAUUUUAUUAGUAUAAUAAUUACAUUUAGCUUCCAACUAAAAAAUCUUUUGAUAAAAU
rnacentral:tRNA from 1 species